rnacentral:lncRNA from 1 species
GUUACUUGAUAUCGGUAAAUUGGCGAUUGAGCUUGAAGUGAGAAAAACCUUUCGAUUGAGGAAAUGUUAGUCGAUUGCAUGAACAACCAAGCGAGAGGAGCUGAUGUUUUUUCAAGGUCACUAGCACAAUAUAUGAGUCGCAAAUGUUCCAUACUGAGUUAAAAUAUAGUGAGACUGAACAAUGAUGCACCAAACCUAUAUAUCAUAUUUAUAGCGCCACUAACCACAAACAGAGAUGAGGGGAGAUGCAUGAUCAAUUGAUCAUCGUGGAGUUACGCUCCAAAAAAUUUGUCGCAAAUAAUGUCAUGAAGAAGGAAACCAAAGGGAGAUUCACACACUAUCCAGAAAAUUAGCCGAGCAAAAACUCAUAAUUUUAAGC